rnacentral:tRNA from 1 species
UCCCAUAUGGUGUAGCGGUUAGGAUUUCUGGUUUUCGCCCACACUGGCCCGGUUCAACUCCCGGUAUGGGAA